CCCUGGAGCCCCGCCCUCUGGUGGGCGGGACUGGUGGAGCUGUAGACCAACCAAGGAAGAUAGGUCGGCGUCUGAAACAAAGCAAGCGAAGUGUCUCCCAAAGAACGAAGAAGGGGAAGAGCUGUUGGUGCGGCUUGUUCCCGCUGCACUGAGUGGGGGAACCGCCGACUCGACGUGUCGGAGUCUCCUGCUUGUCUCUCACGCCUCCGAGCGGCUCUCUACGGGAGCCCAGUCCGCGACGAAGUUGGACUGGGACUUCUCUUGCUGGCUGUUUCCUGCAGCUAGAGACUGAUAAAGAGUCGCCGCGUCUUUAUUUCCAGCAAACCCUCUGAUUCUCAGAAUUGAACCUGAAUUUAUCCACUUCAAUUCAGACAAGACAAGAAUCUCAUCUCUUCAUUCGUGACCUUUAACCUAACAGAGCAUCAGCUGGGCCCUGCACAGAUGGGUAGGUACCUCUGUGCUCUGAAAUGAGGCAUCCUUUGGGGGCACAUCUAAUAGUAAGAAUGUCUGUCCUUAGCCUGAGCAGAGAAACUGCUCCUGCAUUCUUUAUACCAUUUGUGUUUUCAACUUACUCUACACAUCUAAGAAGUACUUACAGUUCAUCCAAGUUUAUAAUAUUUUGAAUAUGUGAUAUUUGUAUGGCUUUUUACUGCUUAUCAUGGUACUUCAAGGGCUGAAACACGUUUGUUUGUUUGUUUUUUACAAUAAUGGACUUGUUACUUGACACCUCUAAAUUAAAAUAAGACCAAAAUUAA